ACACUCCUGCGGGAGGCAGCAGUGGGGAAUAUUGGACAAUGGGCGCAAGCCUGAUCCAGCCAUGCCGCGUGAGUGAUGAAGGCCCUAGGGUUGUAAAGCUCUUUCACCGGUGAAGAUAAUGACGGUAACCGGAGAAGAAGCCCCGGCUAACUUCGUGCCAGCAGCCGCGGUAAUACGAAGGGGGCUAGCGUUGUUCGGAUUUACUGGGCGUAAAGCGCACGUAGGCGGACUAUUAAGUCAGGGGUGAAAUCCCGGGGCUCAACCUCGGAACUGCCUUUGAUACUGGUUGUCUUGAGUUCGAGAGAGGUGAGUGGAAUUCCGGGUGUAGAGGUGAAAUUCGUAGAUAUUCGGAGGAACACCAGUGGCGAAGGCGGCUCACUGGCUCGAUACUGACGCUGAGGUGCGAAAGCGUGGGUAGCAAACAGGAUUAGAAACCCCAGUAGUCCCAUG
rnacentral:rRNA from 1 species